AUUGAACGCUGGCGGCAUGCUUUACACAUGCAAGUCGAACGGCAGCACGGGUGCUUGCACCUGGUGGCGAGUGGCGGACGGGUGAGUAAUACAUCGGAACGUGUCCAGAAGAGGGGGAUAACGCAUCGAAAGAUGUGCUAAUACCGCAUAUGCUCUGAGGAGGAAAGUGGGGGAUCGAAAGACCUUACGCUUUUGGAGCGGCCGAUGUCUGAUUAGCUAGUUGGUGGGGUAAGGGCCUACCAAGGCGACGAUCAGUAGUUGGUCUGAGAGGACGACCAGCCACACUGGGACUGAGACACGGCCCAGACUCCUACGGGAGGCAGCAGUGGGGAAUUUUGGACAAUGGGCGCAAGCCUGAUCCAGCAAUGCCGCGUGAGUGAAGAAGGCCUCGGUUG
rnacentral:rRNA from 1 species